CCUACGGGAGGCAGCAGUGAGGAAUAUUGGUCAAUGGACGAGAGUCUGAACCAGCCAAGUAGCGUGAAGGAUGACUGCCCUAUGGGUUGUAAACUUCUUUUAUAUGGGAAUAAAACGUUCCACGUGUGGGAUUUUGUAUGUACCAUAUGAAUAAGGAUCGGCUAACUCCGUGCCAGCAGCCGCGGUAAUACGGAGGAUCCGAGCGUUAUCCGGAUUUAUUGGGUUUAAAGGGAGCGUAGGUGGAUUGUUAAGUCAGUUGUGAAAGUUUGCGGCUCAACCGUAAAAUUGCAGUUGAAACUGGCAGUCUUGAGUACGGUAGAGGUGGGCGGAAUUCGUGGUGUAGCGGUGAAAUGCUUAGAUAUCACGCAGAACUCCGAUUGCGAAGGCAGUUCACUGGACUGCAACUGACACUGAGGCUCGAAAGUGUGGGUAUCAAACAGGAUUAGAUACCCCAGUAGUC
rnacentral:rRNA from 1 species